CACCUCUCUCCCCUUCCUUCUCCGGCAGGUGGGUGCCAGCCUCCGGCAUCUGUGCUCCUGUUCCUCACCACACGAUGGCCCCAGAGCCCCAUGAAACCUGUAAAUGAUGCCAGAGGCCUAAGCUGCUCUCUCAAAGGAAGAGCUGCUUCCUGUCACCAUAGACAUGUCUGCAUUUUCUGGAAUUGUACAACGUGGAGUCAUACAGCGCCUGUGGUUCUGCCGCCAGCUCUUCUGCUCAGCGUGAGGUGUUUGAGAUUCAGCAACGCAGGGCGCCGUCAGCAGCCGCUGCCGUUUCAUUGCUGAGCUGUCCAGCAUUGCACCGACACAUGCUAAUUGGUUUAGCCAAUGACUUGCUGAGGAUAUCUGGGUUGUUUCUAGGUGCUAGUGGUCAGAAAUAAAGCUACAGUAAAUUCCGGCGUGCA
rnacentral:lncRNA from 13 species